ACCCACCCUUUUUUUUAGAUUUUAUUGUUUUAUUUUUAAUUAAAACAUAAACCAAACCCUAAUCUAUCCAAAUCAAAAAGUAAAGGGGAGGCAAAAGGUUAACACUUAACAGACAAAGUAGAGAAAGAAAAGGAGGCGCCAGAAAAGGAAGGAACUUGUAGCUGCUGCUGCUGCUGCUGCGAUUACCUCCGCCACCGUCUGCUGCUGCGAUUACCUCCUCCACCGUCUCUUUAACCACCAUAAAAAAACUACCUCCACCUUCAUCACCAUCUCUUUCACAAAUAGAACCCAUUUUUUCAUCCAAAACAAACAGAACUCAUUCCAUCAAAUCAACACUAACACCUCCACCAU
rnacentral:lncRNA from 1 species